GAUGAACGCUGGCGGCGUGCUUAACACAUGCAAGUCGAACGAAGAGCGGCGGAAGCUUGCUUCCAUCUAUCUUAGUGGCGCACGGGAGUGUAACGCGUAAUCACCCUGCACUUCACAGGGGGACAACAGUUGGAAACGACCGCUAACACCGCAUACGUUCUAACCUCGGCAUCGAGGAUAGAUGAAAGGUGGCCCCUACACUUAUGCAAUCACUGAAGGUGGGGUUGGCGGCUGAUUAGCUAGGUGGUGGGGUAACGGGCGACCAAAGCGAUGCUCAGUAGCCGGUCUGGGGGGGUGAACCGCCAAAAUGGGACCGGGACACGGCCCAGGCUCCUAAGGGGGGCAGCAGGGGGGGAUCCUUCGGCAUGGAGGAAAGGCUGACGGGACAACGGCGCGGGAGUGAUGGCAGCCUUCGGGUUGUAAAGCUCUGGUAAUCGGGACGAAAGGCCUUCUUGCGAAUAGUGAGAAGGAUUGACGGUACCGGAAUAGAAAGCCACGGCUAACUACGUG
rnacentral:rRNA from 1 species